rnacentral:rRNA from 1 species
UACGUAGGGUGCGAGCGUUGUCCGGAAUUACUGGGCGUAAGGAGCUCGUAGGUGGUUUGUCGCGUUGUUCGUGAAAACCGGGGGCUUAACUCUCGGCGUGCGGGCGAUACGGGCAGACUGGAGUACUGCAGGGGAGACUGGAAUUCCUGGUGUAGCGGUGGAAUGCGCAGAUAUCAGGAGGAACACCGGUGGCGAAGGCGGGUCUCUGGGCCGAAACUGACGCUGAGGAGCGAAAGCGUGGGUAGCAAACAGG